rnacentral:rRNA from 1 species
CAGUAGCCGCGGUAAUACGAAGGGGGCUAGCGUUGCUCGGAAUCACUGGGCGUAAGGGGUGCGUAGGCGGGUCUUUAAGUCAGGAGUGAAAUCCUGGAGCUCAACUCCAGAACUGCCUUUGAUACUGAAGAUCUUGAGUUCGGGAGAGGUGAGUGGAACUGCGAGUGUAGAGGUGAAAUUCGUAGAUAUUCGCAAGAACACCAGUGGCGAAGGCGGCUCACUGGCCCGAUACUGACGCUGAGGCACGAAAGCGUGGGGAGCAAACAGGAUUAGAGUCCCCAGUAGUCCCUGUCUCUUAUAA